AGUAGAGCUGGGGUUUCACCAUGUUGGUCAGGCUGGUCUCAAACUCCUGACCUCAAGUGAUCUACCCGCC
rnacentral:miRNA from 1 species